rnacentral:rRNA from 1 species
CGAACGCUGGCGGCGUGCUUAACACAUGCAAGUCGAACGGAAAGGCCCUGCUUUUGUGGGGUGCUCGAGUGGCGAACGGGUGAGUAACACGUGAGUAACCUGCCCUUGACUUUGGGAUAACUUCAGGAAACUGGGGCUAAUACCGGAUAGGAGCUCCUGCUGCAUGGUGGGGGUUGGAAAGUUUCGGCGGUUGGGGAUGGACUCGCGGCUUAUCAGCUUGUUGGUGGGGUAGUGGCUUACCAAGGCUUUGACGGGUAGCCGGCCUGAGAGGGUGACCGGCCACAUUGGGACUGAGAUACGGCCCAGACUCCUACGGGAGGCAGCAGUGGGGAAUAUUGCACAAUGGGCGGAAGUCUGAUGCAGCAACGCCGCGUGCGGGAUGACGGCCUUCGGGUUGUAAACCGCUUUCGCCUGUGACGAAGCGUGAGUGACGGUAAUGGGUAAAGAAGCACCGGCUAACUACGUG